AAGACAACAGUCUGUGCCAAAGUGUCGAGACUACAAUACGUAAAAAACAAAAUGCUUGGACAAAUCUUGGUUUUCCUCCUCAUCACUGUUGCUAAGACGACGGCGUUCUAUCUACCUUACUAUGGAUAUGGUGAUGAUUUUUAUGACGAUAUCUAUGAUGACUUCGACGACUUCUAUGACGAUGAUUUCUAUUCAUAUCAACCCUAUUGGUUCUUCGGCUAAGAGCCAACCAUCUGCACGUGCCAACCACUACUACUGGAUGUCAGAGUGCUGAAUAAGUGUUCAACAACCCACUGACUACGAGGAUCCAGAUUCAAGCAUCGAUCUACAAAUAUGGUUACAGGCGAUGGUCGUAUAAUGCCAUUAUUCUGUCGCACCGAUUUUAUAACAUUUUAUACUUUUAUCACAAAUAAAUAUUUCAUACAUUCAUAAAAAA
rnacentral:lncRNA from 1 species